rnacentral:lncRNA from 1 species
AGGAAUAAUACUGCCUUUUCUUUCUGGCAUGGAUCAAGAGAAAAGAAAAUACAAGAAAACAGACAGAAGAUCCUAUCUGUGACAAUUAAGAGCACUCUAAGAGGAAAACACAUCCCACCACAGCAAGCUACAUCUAUAGAAGGGUGAGCCCUCACAGAUGGAGCAAUGGUGAGUGCACACCUGAACAAGGGAGGGGAAGGAGUUCUUAUCCCUGACGCAUGUGGCCCCUGCUGCUGUGUCGUUCUCCUAUUGGCUAAGGCUUCUGAUAGCUUUGGAGAUUGUGACAUUGGAAUACAGAAAAAACGUACAGGACUCAUGAAGAGCUGAAAUGUUCACAAAUAUCAAGCAAAAGUCAAUGACAUUUAUUUUGAGCUAUUUACAGCGUUUCAUAAUUGAGCAAGGUAUACUCCUAUGAACAAAAUUUGGAGCAUGUUUGUCUCUCUCUCUCUGCCUGGCAUCUUCAGAAUUUGGAAACUAGUUAGUCAAGGAAAUUUAUUUUGAGCUAUUUACAGCAUUUAAUAAUUGAGCAAGGUAUAUUCCUAUGAACAAAAUUUGGAGCAUGUUUGUCUCUGUCUGUCUGCCUGGCGUCUACAGAAUUUGGAAACUAGUUUCUUUCUCAGAUUUCCUAAACUUUCCAGAGAAAAUGGUCUUCUCCCUGGCUCAGCAAGAAGAUGAACUUUAAACACUGAGAAAGUCAUCAUCUCCCUGGCUCAACCAGAAGAUGAACUUUAAACACUAUUCUCAAUGACUCGAUGUUCCCAUCACUACUACUAUCAUAAAGGGAGGGGACCCAGAUACUGAGAAUUUUAUCAUAGUGUGAACUGUCUGGUAUGUCAUUUAAGUAAGCCCAUUGCUGAAAUAUUUUCCAUGUUAUUAGAAAGAGCUGAAGAGAGGGGUUGCAAUGGCUUCUUUAUUUUUUGUCUUUUGGGGAUUAAAGGAACCUGGUUCAACAAGGGCCUACACCUAAGUCUCUUGUUGUACCAGAGUACAAUUUAGGACUGCUCCUGAGAAGGAAUUAGCUAGAAAUCUAGAGAGUAAGGGUAACAGAUUUACAAUAGAAUAACAGCCUCAGUAUUUUUGGUUCCUCUCCAGUAACGAUCACAAAGAAUAUUGCUAAAUCGCUAAAACACCUUUGCAAUAACGUAAGUGCUUACAGCUAUAUACCAAUGUAGCUCAGUUACUAAACUGGAGUAAAAUAAUUUCUCUUGUGUAGAAAAAUUGGUUGGCUGUGGUUUUAUAGCAGAUUUGCAACUAUUAAUAGUUAUGCCAAUAAUCGUUUAACAGUGCAUAUGUUAAUAUAUAUGGAAAGACAAUGUGUAUAGACAGAUGUGUAAAAUUGAAAAAUAAACAUAUAACGAGAGAGAAACAUCUAUCGAACAGACAAUAUACAUACACGUCAAACACAACAGCAGUUUUAGUGACCAUAAUAUUUAUUUCUCAUUUUUACGUUGGUUACAUUAGUGACAACUGAAAAUGACAGUUGGCAAUGCAGCUAACAGUUUCAAUAAAAGUAUAAAACAAAAGACUGUGUACAAAGCACAUGUCUUUCUGCUUUUGUAAUCUUCCGUUGGAAAAAAUUUACACACCUAAGUAACCAUCUGUUUUCUUCAAGAAAAAAUCAUUCUUAUUUCCCUCUCUCAUCUUGAAAACAGCUGUCAGCCAGGAGGGCAGAGCUGAAAUUUAUUGUCACAUCACAUGAAGCAUAGAACAGACUCCACUACUCCUUAAGUUUCAAAACUUUGCCUCUCACAAAGUUACCUUUUAUUUUCCUCUUGUUUGUCACUCAUCUCCCCUACUGUGCUCUUUUUAUUUCUUUUACUAUUAAUAAUAAAGUUUGUGGAUGACUGUAUUAUU